CCGGGUUCACGCCAUUCUCCCGUGUUCACGCCAUUCUCCCGCCUCAGCCUCCCGAGUAGCUGGGACUACAGGCGUCCGCCAUCACACCCAGCUAAUUUUUCGUAUUUUUAGUAGAGACGUGUUAGCCAGGAUGGUCUCUAUCUCUUGACCUCGUGAUCCGUCCGCCUCGGCCUCCCAAAGUGCUGGGAUUACAGGCGUGAGCCACCGCGCCUGGCCUUUUAUUUCUAUUCUUUUAGUAGUCUAGAAGAGGACUGCCAUUUAUUUUUAAUGCUGUGUCGGUAAUGCUGCUAGAAAUAUUCUUCACGUGUCAAAUGGUGCACCGAUGCAAGAGAUUUCUACCACGUAAACCCAAAACUGAAGUUGCUGUAUUGUAAGUGUUGAGGUGAGCAAGUUCUACAGCAGGCAGAUCAGCAAAUGGAUGAGGAAUGGUGGUGCCUUAGACCAGCCUGAUAACAGGAGAAGUGUUUGCAUACCAGAUACAUGUUGAAGAGAAUAGGCCUCACUAUGUUGCCCAGGCUAGUCUUGAAUUCCUGGGCUCAAGCAAACCACCUGCCUUAGCCUCCCAAAGUGCUGUGAUUACACAUGUGAGCCACUGUGCCCAGCCUAGAGGUAAGUGUCUUCUAAUGGAAACAAAUAAAUAGCUAGUGCCCUUAUAAUUAUGCUGAAGUAAAAUAAGCCUGAGAGAGAAAAUAACCUAUCUGGAAUCAAAUUAUUACGUGCAGUGUGGACAGUGUGGAUAUAGAAUUUGAUUAAACAUUUAAAUGAGCAUUUAAGAAAAUAACUAAAAUGUAAUUUUGAAGGGAAUUUUAAACAACCUCAUAUUUCACUGGAAUUGUUAAUCCUCCUGUCUUCACAUUUUAAAGGCUGAAUUAUUAAACAUUAUAAUAAUAUCUUAGUCACCUUAAGUGUCAAAUAAAUUACUUAGAGAAGUGAUCUGAGACUUUCAGUGAAUCAUUAAAGACUCCUUUUUUUGUGACUUAGUCCCUUCUCUCUGGAACAAAAUAACAUAUAUUUUGAUACAACACAUUGUUAAAAUCAGAAA
rnacentral:lncRNA from 1 species